rnacentral:rRNA from 1 species
GGCGAACGCUGGCGGCGUGCUUAACACAUGCAAGUCGAACGGAAAGGCCCUGCUUUUGUGGGGUGCUCGAGUGGCGAACGGGUGAGUAACACGUGAGUAACCUGCCCUUGACUUUGGGAUAACUUCAGGAAACUGGGGCUAAUACCGGAUAGGAGCUCCUGCUGCAUGGUGGGGGUUGGAAAGUUUCGGCGGUUGGGGAUGGACUCGCGGCUUAUCAGCUUGUUGGUGGGGUAGUGGCUUACCAAGGCUUUGACGGGUAGCCGGCCUGAGAGGGUGACCGGCCACAUUGGGACUGAGAUACGGCCCAGACUCCUACGGGAGGCAGCAGUGGGGAAUAUUGCACAAUGGGCGGAAGCCCAAUGCAGCAACGCCGCGUGCGGGAUGACGGCCUUCGGGUUGUAAACCGCUUUCGCCUGUGACGAAGCGUGAGUGACGGUAAUGGGUAAAGAAGCACCGGCUAACUACGU